CCUACGGGAGGCAGCAGUGAGGAAUAUUGGUCAAUGGCCGCAGGGCUGAACCAGCCACGUCGCGUGAGGGCUGAAGGUCCUAUGGAUUGUAAACCUCUUUUGUCAGGGAGCAAAGGGCGCCACGUGUGGCGCUUUGCGAGUACCUGAAGAAAAAGCAUCGGCUAACUCAGUGCCAGCAGCCGCGGUAAUCCGGAGGAUGCGAGCGUUGUCCGGAUUUAUUGGGUUUAAAGGGUGCGCAGGCGGAAUGUCAAGUCAGCGGUAAAAUUUCGGGUCUCAACCCCGUCGUGCCGUUGAAACUGGCGUUCUUGAGUGAGCGAGAAGUAUGCGGAAUGCGUGGUGUAGCGGUGAAAUGCAUAGAUAUCACGCAGAACUCCGAUUGCGAAGGCAGCAUACCGGCGCUCAACUGACGCUCAUGCACGAAAGCGUGGGUAUCGAACAGGAUUAGAUACCCGGGUAGUC
rnacentral:rRNA from 1 species